CACUUUAGUAUUAAGCCCUUUGGUUUAACAAUAUGAAGUGAUUAAUCUUAGCAAUCAUGCUAAUUAACAGGCUACAACCUGUUCAUUUGAAUUCACCUGUGUUCAAUUGCUCGAUGCCAUCAUUAAUUUCAGUUUGAGAGUUUGUGAGCUCUUAUAACUGAAAUAGAAACGCACAUCAAUCUUGCUGUCUGUGGGGUGUUGUGAUGAAUUUGUAAGAAGGAGGACCUGGAAAGCUCGUCAUUAUCAGCCUGAAUUGUUUCAGUUAGACAGAGAUCUGCAGGACAAAACACAAAAGGAUAUAUGGAUGGCUAUUGUCAUGCUGCACAGUUCCAUUUACUGGGAGCAAAAAUUGGGAUUACUCACUGCCACGUUCUUCCUCCACACUGAUCACAGUUAAAUGGCCUUCCUUCAGAAUGCAUCGCUUCGCUUCAGAAGGCCUUUAUUAACCCCCCAGAGCAGUGUGGAGUAUGUUUAUGAUGGAUGGAUGUGGAUGGAGACAGUUUAUUUCUAUGUUUGUGUAUAUAGGUACCAAUAAAGCCACUUGAAUCUUG